ACCACAUUUUAGCAUCAGGACUCUUGUUCGUUCCUUGAUAUACGUGAGAAAUCAAGCGCAUAUCUACGGGCUUCGACGAGCCAUGUACGAAGGGUUUUCUAUGAGUUUUUUGACGUUGCUCAGUAAGGCAUCCGAGCUCCAAAUAAUCCCCCUUUUGGAUCAACAUAUAUUUGGGAGCCUUAAAAAUUCCCGAUCUAUACUAUCGCAGACUCCCAAACCACCGAAUGACGGUGCAACCUAUGUUCAAUUCAAACAUUACUGGAUGAGACAGGGAGAAUUUCCGCUAGAAUCCCAACCACACUACAUUAUCACUCCCUUCAUUGAAAGGAAUUUAAUGAAUUUAGUGAGAGCGAGCUCUACGAGACUGUUUCCGAUUUUAUUACAAGGCCCAACCUCCUCUGGGAAAACUAGCAUGGUGGAAUACCUUGCCAAAAUUUCUGGCAACCGAUUUGUCCGAAUCAACAACCAUGAACAUACUGACCUCCAGGAAUAUUUGGGUUCAUACGUAUCC
rnacentral:sRNA from 2 species